GGAAAAAUUAGUUAAAUUAUAUAAAUAAUAAAAAAAUUUUUAAAAUAAAAUAUUUAAUUUGGGGGAGUUAAAGUAUUUUAUAAAGAAAAAAUUAAAUAAUUUAUAGUUAAUUAGUAUUGUAAAAGAAUUUUGAAAUAAUUGAUUAUAAGAAAUUAAAAAAAAGUAAUUUUAAUUUAAUGUAUCUUGUGUAUCAGAGUUUAUUAAAAAAAAUUUAUAAAAAAUAAAAUUCUCGAAUUUAAAAGAGAUAAUUAAUUAAUAAAGUUAUUGUAGCAUAAAUAUUUUUAAUAAUUAAUUUGAAAUGAAAUGUUAAUCGUUUUUAAAUAUAUCUAGUUUUUUUAGAAAAAAAUUUAAUUUUUUAUUAUUUUUAAAAAAAAUUAAUUAAUUAAUUUUUUUUUUUAAAAAUAAUAUUAUAUUUUAGGGGAUAAGCUUUAAUUUAAAUUUAUAUAAAAUUAUUAUUAAAAUAAUUUAAAAUUUUUAUAAUUUAUAUUGUUAAUAAAAUUUAAUUUAUUGUAAAUAAUUUUAUUUUAAAUAAAAUUUAAUUUAAUUUUUAUAUUUUUAUAAAAAAAAAAUUUUUAAUAAAAUUUAAUUUGUUAUAAUGAUAAAAUUAGUAUAUUAAUAAAAUAAAAUUAUUUAUUUUAUUUAAAAUUAAUUAAAAGGAAUUCGGCAAAAAUUUAUAUUCACUUGUUUAUCAAAAACAUGUCUUUUUGAUAAUAAUUUAAAGUCUAAUCUGCCCACUGAUAAAUAUUGAAGGGCUGCAGUAAUUUGACUGUACAAAGGUAGCAUAAUCAUUAGUCAUUUAAUUGGUGACUUGUAUGAAAGAUUGGAUGAAAUAUAAACUGUCUCUUUAUUAAAAUUAGAAUUUAAUUUUUUUAUAAAAAAGUUAAAAUAAUUUAAAAAGACGAGAAGACCCUAUAGAGUUUUAUAAAUAAAUUAUUUAAAAUUUUUUAAAAAUUAAAAAGUUAAAAUUAAUUUAUUUAUUUUGUUGGGGUGACAAAAAAAUAAAAAAAACUUUUUUUUUAGUAAAUCAUAUAUAAGUGAGUUUAUGAUCCAAUAUUAUUGAUUAUAAGAAUAAAUUACCUUAGGGAUAACAGCGUAAUUUUUUUUUUUAGUUCAUAUAAAAAAAAGAGUUUGCGACCUCGAUGUUGGAUUAAGAUAAAAUUUAAAUGCAGAAGUUUAAAAUUUUUGAUCUGUUCGAUCAUUAAAAUCUUACAUGAUCUGAGUUCAAACCGGUGUAAGCCAGGUUGGUUUCUAUCUUUUAAAAAAUAAAAUAUUUUAGUACGAAAGGAUUAAAUAUUUGAAUUAAAUUUAAAUUUAAAGAAUAUUAUUAAAAAU
rnacentral:rRNA from 1 species